GACGAACGCUGGCGGCGUGCCUAAUACAUGCAAGUUGAGCGCUGAAGGUUGGUACUUGUACCAACUGGAUGAGCAGCGAACGGGUGAGUAACGCGUGGGGAAUCUGCCUUUGAGCGGGGGACAACAUUUGGAAACGAAUGCUAAUACCGCAUAAAAACUUUAAACACAAGUUUUAAGUUUGAAAGAUGCAAUUGCAUCACUCAAAGAUGAUCCCGCGUUGUAUUAGCUAGUUGGUGAGGUAAAGGCUCACCAAGGCGAUGAUACAUAGCCGACCUGAGAGGGUGAUCGGCCACAUUGGGACUGAGACACGGCCCAAACUCCUACGGGAGGCAGCAGUAGGGAAUCUUCGGAAAUGGACGAAAGGCUGACCGAGCAACGCCGCGGGAGUGAAGAAGGUUUUCGGAUCGUAAAACUCUGUUGGUAGAGAAGAACGUUGGUGAGAGUGGAAAGCUCAUCAAGUGACGGUAACUACCCAGAAAGGGACGGCUAACUACGUG
rnacentral:rRNA from 1 species